rnacentral:rRNA from 1 species
CCCUUAGAUGUUCUGGGCCGCACGCGCGCUACAAUGAUGAAUUCAACGAGUUUGUAACCUUGGUUGAAAAGCCUGGGUAAUCUUUUGAACUUUCGUCGUGAUGGGGCUAGACCCUUGCAAUUAUUGGUCUCCAACGAGGAAUUCCUAGUAAACGCAAGUCAUCAGCUUGCAUUGAUUACGUCCCUGCCCUUUGUACACACCGCCCGUCGCACCUACCGAUUGAAUGGUCCGGUGAAAUCUUCGGAUUGAGACUUUGAUUUCUUCACGGAAAACGCUGUUUUAAAAAGUUGAUUAAACCUUACCAUUUAGAGGAAGGUGAAGUCGUAACA